UAAGUUGCUUGUUUUCUGUGCCCUGUUUUGUGUCGGGUGGGGGACUCGGGAUUUCUAGGGUUUGACGAACCUUCGAUCUGCAAUGGAGGAGCAGAGGAACAACGCCAACGGUGACGGUCCAGCUGAAGGCCCCCGGGAGCCGAAGUUCCAGAUUACUCAUUUGGAGUUGCGCAUCCUCGAGGACGUGUACGCUUUGGAAGGUUACCCCUCUAAUGCGACGAUGACUUCGCUAUGUCAGCAAUUGGGGUUGUCGAUCAGACAAUUAGCGAUGUGGUUCUGUCGGAAGAAGAUACAGGAUCAGAGGAGUCGGGCGCGGAAGAGGCCAAGAUGGGAAGGGAAUGAUUGGGGAAACAGGGGUUCAUUUGAUUCUGGAAGGGAUGAAUUGGUGGCUGCUGAGAGAGUGGGCGUGCGUGCAGCAAGAAGGUAUACUCGGUCUUCAUGUUCAGCAAUGGUGCCUGGGGGAAGAGGUGGGCUCUAGGGGAGCCACGGAGGGAGGGUGGGGAAAAUCUUUGGAUGGCGUUUGAAGAACUUCCACCCGGUACAUUUGGCGAACCGAUAUAGCUUGUUUGGUAGAAUCACUGGUUCACAGAACGAGGCUCAGAAACAUGGUGACUGCCUUGGGUAACAAGCAUCGUUCAAGGACCAAUGGUAUAAAAAGAAGAGGGAAACUUAUUCAGGUGAUUUUCUGGGGAAUGAGGAGGGGAAUUUAACUUUGUGUCAGUUAUACAACUUGUUUGUUGGGGUGGUGUGUUUAUCUGGUGAGCUGGGCAACGGACCUUCCCAAGCAUGCUGUAAGUCUGACAACUUCGAAUCCACAAACCAAAUUUAGUAGCUAUUCAGGAAGAAAACUGAAGAAACUUGGUUGAAAUCCUUUAUAUUCGUUAGUGAUACCACAUGACUUGUUUUAAAGAACAAAUGAAACCGAAGUAUAAAGAAGUUUGAUUUUUAUUGGAAAGGACCAAAUCUAGUCUUGCUCAGAUGAUAUGUUAAUAUUUUAUACUUUUGUUACCAUGUGAUUCUUUGGUUGUUAAUCAUUUUUUAAACAAAUGAUUUUUUGAUUCCAGUAGGAUGGACCAUCAAGGACAAACCAAGUACAUGUGUCAUUUCUAUAUGAUCUUCCAUCUUCUUAAAAUUUCUUGACUAAUUUAGAUUUUUUUUUAUUGCAUCUCAUUUUUUUUAGAGUCAUAGUUAAAGUUUAGGCUUAAAAGUACAUGAAGGUUUAUAACGUGUCUUCACAGUAAUGUUUUGAAAUUUUGAAGCUAGCACAAAGAUAAGUUUUUAUUGGCAUUGGCCCCUAUCUUGCCCACAUUUAACAAUAAUUUUGGUAUCUUCUUUCUUAUAUACUGAGAUGUUAAUGAGGUAUGAGAGGUGGUGUUGUAGCAAUUGACUCAAAACUCCUGAAGCUGCUCGUCCCUGUCUUCAUGUGUCAUGCCCUGGGCUAUGUGAUGAACAAUGUCUCAUUUACAGCUGUUUCUGUUUCAUUCUCUCACACAAGUACAUGAUAAAAGGAGAAAUGUUCAACUUGGGAGGGUUUUCCCCAAUGGAAGGGACUGGGAUUUGGAUACCUGUAUGCUAUUGGUUACCGAAUUAAUUGUUUUCUGUUCUUCAAAAUCUGUGUUAUUAGUUAAUGUUUUUUGAAUCAGCUUCUGGAGUCUUUCCUCAAUGCUGCUGCAUCCCAAUUCAUACUUGGAGAGCAGAUCCCCGUGACCUUAUGGCUAUUGCUGGCUCCAGUUGUUAUCAGCAAGCAAGCUCCUCUUUCUGUGUGCAUUCUUGUUCUAUUCUUGUCAUAGAUAUCAAGCUGUAGUUAGUUAUUUAGCUAUAAACAGCUAGUGCUAUGAAUUGAUCUGGAAAUCUUGUUACUUAGGCAUGCAGUGGCCCACUUGAAUAAAAGCUUUUAGUUUGUUAA